rnacentral:rRNA from 1 species
GAUGAACGCUAGCUACAGGCUUAACACAUGCAAGUCGAGGGGCAGCAUGAAUAUUGGCUUGCCAAUAUUUGAUGGCGACCGGCGCACGGGUGAGUAACACGUAUCCAACCUUCCGGUUACUCGGGGAUAGGCUUUCGAGAGAAAGAUUAAUACCCGAUGUUGUGUAUCUUUCUCCUGAAAGAUACGCCAAAGGAUUCCGGUAACCGAUGGGGAUGCGUUCCAUUAGGCAGUUGGCGGGGUAACGGCCCACCAAACCUUCGAUGGAUAGGGGUUCUGAGAGGAAGGUCCCCCACAUUGGAACUGAGACACGGUCCAAACUCCUACGGGAGGCAGCAGUGAGGAAUAUUGGUCAAUGGACGGAAGUCUGAACCAGCCAAGUAGCGUGAAGGAUGACUGCCCUCUGGGUUGUAAACUUCUUUUAUACGGGAAUAACAUGAGGUACGCGUACCUUAUUGCAUGUACCGUUAUGAAUAAGCAUCGGCUAACUCCGUGCCAGCAGCCGCGGUAAUACGGAGGAUGCGAGCGUUAUCCGGAUUUAUUGGGUUUAAAGGGAGCGUAGGUGGGAUAUUAAGUCAGCUGUGAAAGUUUGGGGCUCAACCUUAAAAUUGCAGUUGAUACUGGUUUCCUUGAGUACGGUACAGGUGGGCGGAAUUCGUGGUGUAGCGGUGAAAUGCUUAGAUAUCACGAAGAACUCCGAUCGCGAAGGCAGCUCACCGGGCCGGAACUGACACUGAUGCUCGAAAGUGCGGGUAUCAAACAGGAUUAGAUACCCUGGUAGUCCGCACAGUAAACGAUGAAUACUCGCUGUUUGCGAUACACAGUAAGCGGCCAAGCGAAAGCGUUAAGUAUUCCACCUGGGGAGUACGCCGGCAACGGUGAAACUCAAAGGAAUUGACGGGGGCCCGCACAAGCGGAGGAACAUGUGGUUUAAUUCGAUGAUACGCGAGGAACCUUACCCGGGCUUAAAUUGCGCUGGCUUUUACCGGAAACGGUAUUUUCUUCGGACCAGCGUGAAGGUGCUGCAUGGUUGUCGUCAGCUCGUGCCGUGAGGUGUCGGCUUAAGUGCCAUAACGAGCGCAACCCUUAUCUUUAGUUACUAACAGUUUUGCUGAGGACUCUAAAGAGACUGCCGUCGUAAGAUGCGAGGAAGGUGGGGAUGACGUCAAAUCAGCACGGCCCUUACGUCCGGGGCUACACACGUGUUACAAUGGGGAGCACAGCAGGUUGCUACACGGCGACGUGAUGCCAAUCCGUAAAACUCCUCUCAGUUCGGAUCGAAGUCUGCAACCCGACUUCGUGAAGCUGGAUUCGCUAGUAAUCGCGCAUCAGCCACGGCGCGGUGAAUACGUUCCCGGGCCU